AUACGGAAGAUGUAAGCGUUAUCCGGAUUUAUUGGGUUUAAAGGGUGCGUAGGUGGUUUGCUAAGCGGGAGGUGAAAUGCCGGCGCUCAACGUCGGAAGUGCCUCCCGAACUGGUGGACUUGAAUGACUCUGCCGUGGGAGGAAUGUGUAGUGUAGCGGUGAAAUGCUUAGAGAUUACACAGAACACCGAUUGCGAAGGCAUCUCACGAAGGGUUGAUUGACGCUGAGGCACGAAAGCGUGGGGAUCAAACAGGAUUAGAUACCCUGGUAGUCCACGCAGUAAACGAUGAUGGCUAACCGCUGGAUCCAUCGGUUCAGUGGCCAAGCGAAAGCGAUAAGCCAUCCACCUGGGGAGUACGACCGCAAGGUUGAAACUCAAAUGAAUUGACGGGG
rnacentral:rRNA from 1 species